CCCUACGGGGUGCAGCAGGCGGGUGCCAUCAUGCUCGGCAAGGUUAACCUGGAUGAAUUCACCUACGGCUCAUCCAAUGAAUCUUCCGCCUUCCAGCCCAGCCCCCGCAAUCCCUGGAAAACCGACCGCGUGCCGGGCGGUUCAUCCGGUGGCAGCACAGCCAGUGUCGCAGCCGGAGAAGCACCCCUCUCCCUUGGCACGGAUACAGCCGGUUCGAUCCGGCAGCCGGCAGCUUUUGGCGGGGUGGUUGGAGUGAAACCCACCUAUGGCAGGGUGUCGCGUUAUGGUUUGAUUGCCUUUGCCUCUUCACUGGAUUGCCCUGGACCGGUGGCGCGCAGUGUCAAGGAUGCCGCUGCGAUGCUUCAGGUGAUCGCCGGCGUGGAUGAGCAUGAUGCCACAGCUGCCACUGUGGAAGUGCCGGAUUAUUUGGCGGGAGAGC
rnacentral:rRNA from 1 species